GUUGAUUGAUCCUACCAGUAGUCAUAUGCUUGUCUCGAAAAUUAAGCCAUGCAUGUUUCAGUGUGUGCCAAAUUAAGGUGAAACCGCGAAUGGCUUAAAUCAGUUAUAAUUCAUUAGAUUGUACCCACAUUUACUUGGAUAACUGUACUAAUUCUACAGCUGAUACAUGCAAAACAGAGUCCCGACCAGUGAUGGAAGGAACGCUUUAGAUUAGAACCAAUCGGUGGCGUACUGUUGUCCGUCCGCCCACAGUUUAUUUUGGUGACUCUAAUAACUUUGUGCUGAUCGCACGGUCUUUGUGCUAAGCACCGGCGACGAAUCUUUCAAAUGUCUGUUUUAUCAACUGUCGAUAGGUAGGUUUUACAUCUACCAUGGUUGUAACAAAUAAUGGGGAAUCAGAAUUCGAUUCCGGAGCGAGCCUGAGAAGCGGCUACUACAUCCAAAGAAGGCAGCAAGCGCGCAAAUUACCCACCCGGCACGGAGAGAUAGAGAUGAAAAAUCACGAUACGGGACUCAUUUGAGGCCCCGUAAUCGGAAUGAGUACACUUUAAAUCCUUUAACAAAGAUCCAUUAGAAGGCCAGUCUGAUGCCAGCAAUCGCAGUAAUUUUAGCUCCAAUAGCAUAUUGAAGUUGUUACAGUUAAAAAGCUUGUAGUUAAAUCUAUGUCGCAUACUGUCGGUUCACUGCUCGUGGUGUUUAACUGGCAUGAUGUAAGAUGUCUUACUGAUAAACUUAGCCUCGCGAGGGGCGGACCAACUAAUAUCCCGUCGCAGUACUCUUUAUUGAGUGUUGAGUCGAGCCAAUACGUUUACUUUGAACAAAUCAAAGUGCUUAAAGCAGGCUAUCCUUGCCUGAAUACUGCGUGGAUGGAAUAGGAUCUUGAUUUUAUUUUAUUGAUUUUCGGUACCUCGAGGUAAUGGUUAAUAGAUAUAUGGGAUAAAUUGGGGCAUUCGUAAUGUGACAUUAGAGGCGAAAUUCUUGGAUCGCAAAACAGAAUCGAAAGCAUUUGCCAAAAAUGUUUUCAUUAAUCAAGAACGAAAGUUAAAGGUUCGAAGACAAUCAGAUUAGUCUUAAUUCUAACCAUAAACAAUGCCAGCUACAUGGAAAAAAAAAUUCGGUUCGUGUAACUGAAUUUUAGUUAUGAAAUGACGAAGAAAUACUAAUAGAAUUGAGAAGAAGAAUAAAUGUACGCGGUCGUCGAGUAAAAUCCCGUAGAAUAGAAAAUUGUGUAGAAGAUAUAUUAGGUGUACAACUUUGCUUCCGUCGUUUUUCUAUAGAUGGCUUUAGCGGUAAGUAGUGGUCGAAAUAAAUAAAUCAUAGAUGUCAUAC
rnacentral:rRNA from 1 species